rnacentral:rRNA from 1 species
CCCUUAGAUGUUCUGGGCCGCAUGCGCGCUACACUGAUGCAUUCAACGAGUUUCUUCCUGGUCCGAGAGGAAUGGGUAACCUUUUGAAAGUGCAUCGUGAUAGGGAUAGACUAUUGCAAUUAUUGGUCUUCAACGAGGAAUUCCUAGUAGACGUAGUUCAUCAGACUGCAUCGAUUACGUCCCUGCCCUUUGUACACACCGCCCGUCGCUCCUACCGAUUGAAUGCUCAGGUGAGCCAUUCGGACCUUCAUCAUGCCGGUUUCCGGUUUUGAUGAGGGAAAGUCUUGCGAACCUUAUCAUUUAGAGGAAGGAGAAGUCGUAACA